GUCAGGGGGCAAGAAAGCAGCAUCGAAGGUCAAAGAAAAAUGAUUUGGUGCUUAAGGGACUGGCUUGGUGUUUGUGAGGCUUCUCCAUCCUGUGUGAUCUUGGGUGACUGAUCCCAAAUUGCAGGGAAGGCAAAGCAUUGUGGAUCCUGUCGCAUUCUGUGGCUUUUGAGGCUCUGCAUAAGAUAGUCGCACUGGCUUGAACCUGGGCCGCUCACCUGAGUUAAACCUAGUUCCUUCAUCUUUUUACUGUACUUUCAGGGCAUAAAGCCUGCCUUUAUUUCUUUAAAGGAUGGAGAACAACUGUUCCCUGUCAAUGUCUGAUGAAGUCAGCUAGGGUUCAUGAAAGCUUGUGCUCUCUAUGUAUCAAAUCUUAUUUAGUUAGUUUAUAAAGGUGCGUAUCUACCCUGCUUUCUGACUCGCUGCAGACUAACAUGGCUAACUACCUCUCUCUCCAGCAGUAAAACAAGGAUAGCAGCACUGCAGAGGCACGUGAGCAAAAGAUGGAGCACUCAGAUGUGUUGGCAGCUAGGGGCUGGUAAAAGUGCCAUGGCAGAGAGCGAGAAGAGAUGUUUUGUCCCCCCGUGAUGACCAGCCUGAAGCUGACUUUUUUUUCCCCUUCCUUUGAGCCAACGUUGGGGAAGAGAAGGAAUAUGGGGGUGCUGAGUACAAAGUAUAUUGCUCCAGAACACCCUUGCUUUCAUGAAUAGCCCUUAUAUAAACUCAAGGCUGUUGUAACACCUGGUAGUGCCACUUGCUUUAUGUAUUAUUGAAGCCCUGGCUGCUGCCUGUUUUGCAAGUCGCAUGUUAAAUGAAUCUCUUAAGGUCACGAAGCAAGGCAGAGUCAGAACCCAGUGCUCUGCUCUUGCAGCUUAAUCCCACCUGCGCUGUGCUCGUUAGGAAAAAGUAGGCUGAGUGCUGCUCGCGAGGAUGUACGUACGCAUCUCAAGCAGCCUGCGGGUUUUAAGUGCGGUAUUGGCGGCAUUCAGUGGAGAAAGGGCUGCUUCUGCAACCUUUCCCUAAAGGCCUGUUGGUCUUUCAUUGCUUAUCACUUCUUUUCCAGCAGCACCUACAGGCCAAAUCAGGGUUCUAUGGUGCAAGGCACUGUACAAACCUAUCCCAAAGAGCUUAUAGCCUAAAUGUUCAGGCGUGAUAGGGGCGGAUGAGACGAGCAGGCAUGUUAUCCAAAGAGUGUAUAGCUUUUCAUGGGUCAGAAGCAGCGAUUUUUUUUUUUUUUGUGCUUGACUUCUUGGAAGGAAAUUUCCCAUGUGCUUGGAGGAGGAUGAACAGUGAUCAAACUGCGAGCAGUGGCAUUGCCCACCUCCAAGGAGAGAGUGAGAGGGCAGCUUCAAACCAGCGCUGUAGGAACGAGGAAGUGGGGCCGGAGGAUACAUCCAGUCUUGCUGUGCAAAGCUACAAACCAGUGCCACAAUCCAGGCUCAAGGCAGCAGGGUCACCAGCCUUUUGGAGCUGUCUUUGCAGCCGCAGCUCCCCUUUGAGAGCCUGAGCGGGGGAAGUCAGUAAAGCACUUCCGUGUACUUUUCCAAAGCCUUGAAGCAAGUGAACAAAGCCCUGUUGGCCUCCCCUGCCAUGACUCAGCCUCUUCUUCUUCCUGAGAAAAUUGGUGCUGGCAUCAUGUUCCUCGCUGAGUGUCCGUGAUCAUCUGGGAGCCUGGAUUUUAAUGAUCAGCCCUGGGCAAAAAAAAAAAUCCAAUCUUCAUCACUAGGUUGCUGCAGGGUGUUUGAUCUGGAGCUAACCAUGUACAAACAGAGCAGGCCUAGUGAUGUAUUCUGGUGUCUGAACCAGCUUCAGGAGGAUGACACCACCUAGAACACAGUGAGCACCACAAAUGGGGCAUGCAGGUCCCUUAACGAGAUGCAACAUUACAACUUCAUGCUUCCUAAAUUGGCCGAGACCUGGAACAGCAGAAGAAUAUCAGGUUUUAAGGACACAAGGGCCUUUGAUCUGAGAGAGGGCAGUAAAUGAGCACUGAAUUGGCUCGGCUCUGCUUGUCUGAAUCAACAUUUCCUUCCCCAGAGGAACAAGCCUGAGGGACUGGGAGCUCUGCUCCGUAUUUGUUUAUUAUGGAAAUCCUCAGAGCUUUAUCUGUGCAGAAGGCACAGAAAGUCUCACGGUUUCCCAUGUGCGGCAGCAACGUAUGUAACGGUGGUGGUGAUGAAAGCCCUGACCCGGCAGGAAGCUAUAAAGAGACUCUGACUUGCAUGGGGGUAAAUGGUGUAGGGGAAAGAAGGGGGAUAAGGGGAGGUUUUUAUCUUCUGCAUAAAAGCAUUUGUGCAGACACUAAUGCUGGCAACUUCUGCAGUUUUAUGCUGGGUCUGGGGCUGAUUCUCAAGGCUGCAGUGCCUGCAGCCUGGGGAUCUUUUUGCUUUCUUUUUUGAAGUAAGCUUCUAGUCCUCCAUCUUCCCAAGGAAGAUGUGAAUGGCCCCGACUCUGCCUGUUCCAAAUCCAGGUAUUAAAUGCCAUCUAACCCAACACGUACCAUUCCUGAGAUCUCUGCAUGCCUUCAGUUGCCCGUGCUACAUCUGGGCAGCACACGUAUGAGAGAGAGCAUAGAUAGCAGACGGGGGUUAGAUUUUUAUUUAGAUUUGUGAGGCCAAUACUACGUUCCGUCCCCCCCACUUAAAUUAAAAAU